UUCUUUUCUUGGACAUACUUAAUUUAUCAUAAUGUGAGGCUAAGAACGUCGAUCGAUUUAAGUUCAUCGAGCUUGUAUUUUGAUGGUGGAUUUGUAGAGUCGAUGUUCUUUAUCUUUGCAGUUAUAUAACUCUUCCACUCUAUGCUCUCGUAACUCAGAUGGGUACGCGUAUGAAGAAGUUGAUCUUUGACGAACAAACAUCGAAGGCCCUCAAGAAGUGGCACGUAGCUGCUAUCAUCAUAUUUGUUCCAUUAAGUACACCAUAUUCUUGGGGUAAAAUCAAAUUUUCUUUUCGUUGAUAUGGAAAAAGUAUUCAGAAGUUGAGCGCACA